rnacentral:lncRNA from 1 species
ACAGGCGAGGGCGUUCGGCGACGUUACUGGGGCUGCACGGUGCUUGUAGCUGGGCAGUCUUAUCAUCAGAGUGGAGCCUGGUAACCACGACCUCCCCGCCAGGUCCUGUGUGUUGCUAGCUGGAGAAGGGUAGUUGAAAACUCAGACCAAGCACAGUGUUUAUAUCGGUCAAAACUGGAAAACUAUGUCCGGGCGCAGCCGAGGCUGGAGGAUCCCUUCAGGCCAAGAGCAACCUAGCAAUAUGGCGCGACCGGAUCUCUGUAGUCCUACCUCAACCCCCAGCUACUUGAACCCCAAGGUUGAAGGCUCCAGUGAGCUAUGAUCCCACCACAGCAUUGCAGCCUGCCAGACUGAGGGCUUGAGGAUCAGCCAGGUUUCAUGAGUUCAAUGCAGACCUGAAUCAUACCAAGCUGAGACUGGGGUACACACUCUCCUCUACUGAAAAGUAGUGAGGGAUUCCAACUUGGUGAGAGGGAGAGUGGGGGAGAGCCAGACCAGACAAGAGUGCUCACCUGGAAAAAGCCUGCCAUCAAAGGCCAUGACAUGAACUUAUGAAUUCAACACAUGAAGACUUACAACUUGAUAAACCAGCUUCAGGAGAUUGAGAAAACUUGUAUUCCUGUGAUUUCGAUAGUGAAGGAAGUAUGGUAUACCAGAAUCACUAAAUUAUGAAAGAUGGUAGAUCAGCUUUUUGCAAAAAAAUUUGGUUCCUGAAAGGGAGAGAGGAAAUCUUCGAUUUUUCAUGGCUGUGAACCACUGCAAGUAUUGAAGAAAUAUUUACUACUUCCAGCCUCAUAAUCCUGCAGUCAUUUGGCACCUCUGAAGCCUUGGGGAGCACUGAAGCCAAGGCUGCACCGUACCAAAAAUUUGAAACAUGUGAAUGAGCUGAAUGUGGAAGGACUACCGGAAAACACUCCUUUCAGAAUCCCCUCAUUGCAUGAAAUCCCAAGGCUCGAAAACAUCUUUCAAGUGAGCAAUUGAAUUAAGUUUGUUAUUAAGAGUAACUCCAGUUAGCCUCCAUUGUCUCCAAGCCGGCUUUUGUCCUCAUCCACAACGCCUCCACACAAGCUCUGAACACCUGUCCAUGCUGUACUGUUUAUAUUUCUUGAUGGGACCCUCAAAGACUUAGCCUCUGAAAUUGAAACUCUGGAGGGUUCUGAGUCUCCCGAAACCUAAGGAAAUUUUCCAAGACAUAUCGAGAUAAGUAAAAUCCUAUAUUCAACCAAUGGCAUAUUUCCCCUAUCCUAGAAAUCACCCUCCUUCCCCUUCCCCCCGAAACUUCAGUUGGGAACCAGCUGGAGUUUAUAGCACCAGGCUUAGUGUGGAUCUCUUGACACCUCUGAAACAAGUUCCCCAUCACAUGGGAAAACUGCUCUGCCCUUCCACACCAGGCCUUGGAGCCUCUGCCAGCUUGAUGCUGAAGAAGCCUGACAUCCCCCAGGUAGGGGACAGCUGAGAUCUCUUGGGGUGUCUUGGGACCUGCUUGACUGUCCUUUUGAAGAGCGCACCUUUCCCUCAUCUGUAAAGAAGUCUGAGGGCAGAAACCAGAUGUGCUGACCUCACCUCUCACCUCUCUCCCCCUGGGCUGGAAUCCAGUGUUGCUCACUUCCUAUUCACUAGAAGCAGCUUGCCUGGGCAGGACUGGUGUUAUACUUUGUUUCAGUCAGCACAGGAAAGUGCAGAGUUGCCUGCAAAAGGCAGAUGAAAACUUAAAGUGAUCUUUGGCCAGCAGAUUCAUUUAAAAUGCAAAUCCACUCAGCAGUGUAGGAACAGUAUGGCACAGCCCCCAUGUGGUAGAUUAGAAUGCAGGCUUUCACCACAGCUCUUUGUUCCAAAGCCAGCAGAAACUGGCUAGGCUUGGCAUUUAUCCUUUUGCACUAAAGCGCGUUGGGGAAAUCCCUGAACGAGUCCCUAAAAUUCCCGGUGAUUGGGGAAGCUUGAAGUAGUCUAUUUGCACCCAGCCCUACCUGAUUUGAAGAGCUGUAUGGAACCAGGAACCAGGAAGAGAAUGUGAGCUUUUGAGCCAGUACCCCAACUUACCAGCCCUGAAAUCUUCAGCUAAUUAUUUUAUCUCUCUGAGAAACAUAUUAACCUCUCUAGGCCACAUCUUGAGGGGACUCUAAAGCUGACAUUUGGGAGUUAACGUUUCCCCUGCUAGGAGAAAAUACACAUAUAUUAGUCCAUUUUCACGUUGCUGAUAAA